UAGUCAUCUGUAUAUGUUCUUUGGUAAAGUGUUAAACUAUUUGCUCUUUAAAAGCUGAGUUGUUUAUUUUUUCUAGUGGCUGAAUUUUGAGAGUUCUCUACAUAUUCUUUUUUUUUUCUUUCUUUCUUUUUUUCUUUUUAGGGCUGCAUUGCAGCACAUGGAGGUUCCCAAGCUAGGGGUUGAAUUGGAGCUACAGCUGCCAGCCUACACUACAGCCACAGCAGUGCAGGAUCCAAGCCACUUCUGUGAGCUACACCACUGCUCAUAGCAAUGCUGGAUCCUUAACCCACUGAGCUAGGCCAGGGAUCAAACCUGCCAUGGUUACUAGCCAGAUUUGUUUCCCCUGCACUGCAAUGGGAACUCCAGAGUUCUCUUUGUAUUCUGUUUGUUGUUUUUGUUUUUUAGGGCCACACCCACAGCAUAUGGAGGUUCCCAGGCUAGGAAUCAAAUUGGAGCUGUAGCUGCCACCCUACACCACAGUCACAGCAAUUCAGAAUCCCAGCCACAUCUUCAGCCUACACCACAGCUCACAGCAAUGCCAGAUCCUUAACCCAUGGUAUGAGGCCAGGGAUCGAACCUGCGACCUCAUGGAUGCUAGUCAGAUUCGUUAACCACUGAGCCAGGAUGGGAACUCCCUAUGUAUUCUUUAUACAAGUUCUUUUUCAGAUAUAUGGUUUGCAAAAUUUCCCCCCACGUUUUAUGACUCUUUUUCAUUUUCACAGCAGUAUCUUUUGAAGAAGCAGAAAUUUAUGAAUUUCUACACAAAUUCCUCCUGGAAUUUUGAUUGGGAUUGUGUUAAAUCAAUAGAUAAAGUGGAAAAGCAGUGACAUCUUAAUAAUAUUGUACUCUGACCUAUGAACAAAAUAUAUCUUUCCUUUUUUUAUAUCUUCUCUGAUUUCCUUCAGCAAUGUUUUAAAUUUUUCAAGGUACAAAUCUCACACUUUCUGUCAGAUUUACUCAUAAGCAUAUCAUUCUUUUGAUAUUGUUGUACAUGAUAUUUUAUAAAAUUCAAGUUUCACCUUUUCAUCAAAGAGUCAAGUUCAAAAUUCUAAUUUAUAGUUGAUUUUUGUAUAUUGAUGUUGUAUCCCACCUUAUUAAACUCAAUUAUUAGCUUUAGUAGUUUGGUUAAUGAAUCUGACUAGGAACCAUGAGGUUGUGGGUACGGUCCCUGGCCUUGCUCAGUGGGUUAACGAUCCCGUGUUGCCAUGAGCUCUGGUGUAGGUUGCAGACGCGGCUCAGAUUGUGUGUUGCUAUGGCUCUGGCAUGGGCCGGUGGCUACAGCUCCAAUUAGACACCUAGCCUGGGAACCUCCAUAUGCCACGGGAGCGGCCCUAGAAAAG
rnacentral:lncRNA from 1 species